AUUAAAACACCAGUUCUCAUACAAUCACUGAAGUUAAGCAACAUCAAGUCUGGUUAGUACCUAAAUGGGUGACCACUUGGGUAUGCAGGUGGUGUA